CGUCAGCUCGUGUCGUGAGAUGUUGGGUUAAGUCCCGCAACGAGAGCGACCCUUGUCUUUGAUUGCCAUCAUUCGGUUGGGCACUUUAAAGAGACUGCCGGUGUUAAGCCGGAGGAAGGUGGGGAUGACGUCAAGUCCUCAUGGCCUUUAUGCCCAGGGCUACACACGUGCUACAAUGGGUGGUACAAAGAGCAGCGAACUCGCGAGAGUAAGCGAAUCUCAAAAAGCCGGCCUCAGUUCGGAUUGAAGUCUGCAACUCGACUUC
rnacentral:rRNA from 1 species